ACUCCAGCCUGGGCGACAGAGCCAGACUCCGUCUCAAAAAAAAAAAAAAAAAAGACACAGGGAGAAGGAACAACACGCACACUCCCUGCUGAAUUUGGAGAGAACUGAGAGGAGGCUGCGGUUUAACUAGACCUUCCUUAGAAUAAGAAGAGAAGAGAAAAAGGAAAGAGAGAGAGAGAUGGAGACACAUAAAGAAGGAGAGAGAAUGACAGCUUCUAUGGGUGUGUAGAACAUCAUGACAUUAGUCAGGUAACUACUUCCUUCAACAUUAUUUUCAUUUAUUAUUAAUAAGCUCAUUGCGUAUGUCUUGUCCAAACCUAGAAAGUCAACGCCCCCUGGGUCAACCUUCUAGGGUUAUACCUGCUUAGACCAGGCAGGGGCAGUAAAGAGCUACUAUGGUAGGAAAUUCCAGUGGGAGAAAGAGACUGGAGGGUUUUAUAGGAGGGUCGUAUGACUGUAAGUAAGCCAGAGUUAUUCCAGAACCAGACAUCUGAAGGGGGAAACCCUGAUGACCAUGGAAUGACAGUUAACACCAAGGUUCAUGACAGUUGUAAAUCCUGAGGGGUCAGGACUAAGAACCAUGAUAUAAAAAAUUGUUCUCAUCACAUGCAGGCAGGUAAAGUUGACAGGGUAGAUGAACAGAGCUUUAGAGGUAUUUGCAAGGACCUCUCCUCUUGCCUUGUGGUUCUUGAAGGAUGUUGGUUUCUCUGGACCCGGAAACUCUGCAGAGCUGAUCUACAGCCCAGAAGCAUGUGUGAAGAUAAAGGAGCCAAAGAAAAGACUAGUUCCUUAUCUUCAGAGCUGGAACUUCUGUUUCUAUUUAAGUUGAUGUGAUUAUUUAGAAAACUCUGUUUAGGGGUAUGUUUUAAAUUUUUUUGGUGUUGGCAUUUUAAUGUCCUAAACUUUCUUUACAGAUGUUUCUUUCAAGGGGGUUCUUGCAGUGAAAGUGUCUAGCACAACUAUUAAGUAAGACCAUGAAGACAGUAAAAAGGAGACACACUAUAAUACCCUUUUGAUAGUUCUUUGCUUUGAAAAAUUUGUGUUCACAAAAAUAUUUUGCACUGCAUGGGUAGCCACGCGAUCAGAAAUUUUUACAAAAGAUUCUGUGUAAUGUUAGUUUUGGAUCACAUUUUGAGUGUAAUGGUUCUAUACAAGGAUGAUUAAAUGUUGCUAAUCUGUCAUGCUUUUAAAAUCUUUCUUUAAAUCCAUAUCACAAUAAUGAGAACAUGCUGUGGAUACCAAGAAGGGCUCAUGGGAAUGGUCAAAGCACAAAGCUUUGGCUUUAAGGUCUUCUGUCUUGAUCUAAUAUACUUUGUGAUUGACCAAUACCUGUUGCUUACCAGUAAUUGAGGCCUGCACAUAAAUUAAGAGAAAACCAUUCUGACUACAGUCACAGUGAAUAUCAAAGAUGCAAAUUAGAUGCGGUAGUAAAAGUAGAAUAAGUUAAGCUUGUAAAUAUGGAUAAACUGGAUUCCCAUAAUAUUGAAACAUUCUUCCUUUCAAAGGAAUUAAUAUUCAAACUUGGCUCCCUAUAGGCAAGUUGAGAUAGAGAUACUGCUAGCAUGACAAAAAGAAGGCAAAAAGUUUUAAUAAAUAAAAAUAAUAAUCAGACACUAAACAUUAAACUCCCUCUUUUGCAUGCUUGUGUUAACCAAACACAAAAUUUCAAGCACAAUAAUUUGCCCACCAACCACAUUGUGAAAACACUAUGAAAGAAGACUCAGAAAAAUACAAAGCAAAGUUUUCCCUUUUGACUUUAGGUAUGAAGAAUGCUGUUAAAUCAGAAGAAAUAUAUCUUUCCCCAAAUUUCAUAUUAAAGAGAAGGCAGAAGAUCUGGACAUUCAAUGAUAAAUCAAUUUUUUAUUCAAAUUUUUAAAAAGUCAUGCUUAGGAAUAAAAGCAGGAAUGUUUUUACUUUUAAAGUAGAAGUGAUAGAGCAGAACUGAAUAAAAUUGAGACCCAAAAAUCCAUACAAAGAAUCAUUGAAACAAAAAGUUGUUUAUUUGAAAGGAUAAACAAGAUAAAUAGACUUUUAGCUAGACUACUAAUGAAUAAAAGAGAGAAGAUUUAAAUAAACACAAUAAGAAAUGACAAUGGUGAUGUUACAACUGACCAUACAGAAAUACAAAAGAUCCUCAGAGGCUACUAUGAACACCUAUUCACAGAAACUAGGAAAUCUAGAAAAAAUUGAUAAAUUCCUGGAAACACACAAUCUCCCAAGAUUGAAUCAGUAAGAAAUAGAAACCCUGAACAGACCAACAUCAAGUUCCGAAAUUGAAUCAGUAAUAAAAAAAAAACCUAUCAGCCAUAGCAAGCUCAAGACCAGAUGGAUUCCCAGCUAAAUUCUACCAGUUAUACAAAGAAGAACUGGUACCAAUUCUGAAACUACUCCAAAAAUUUGAGAAGGAGGGACUUCUCUCUAACACAUCCUAUGAAUGCAGUGUCUCCUGAUAUCAAAACCUGGCAAAGAUACAACAAAAAAAGAAAACUACAGGCAAAUAUCCCCUAUGAACACAAAUGCAAAAAUCCUCAACAUAGUACUAGCAAACCAAAUCCAACAGGACAUAAAAAAAGUUAAUUCACCAUGACCAUAUUUGACUUCAUUCCUGGGAUGCAGGGUUGAUUCAACAUACAUAAAUCAAUAAACAUGAUUCAUCACAUAAACAGAACUACAGACAAAAACAUAUGAUCUCUCAAUAGACAUGGAAAAAGCUUUUGAUACAAUCCAACAUCCCUUAUGAUAAAAAAAAAAACCCUCAACAAACUAGGCAUUGAAGGAACAAACCUCAAAA
ensembl:lncRNA